rnacentral:sRNA from 1 species
GAGAUCUCAAUGGUGGAGGCAGACCUGUUUGACAAACUGGAGGCCGUGGCCAGAGCUGUCCGGCAGCAGAACAAGCCAUUUGGAGGGAUCCAGCUCAUCAUCUGUGGGGACUUUCUGCAGCUGCCACCUGUGACCAAGGACUCCCAGCCCCCACGGUUCUGCUUCCAGGUACUACUCACCUCCUAGCUCUGCUCUCCUUGGGGGUCUGCUCUGCUCCUUGACCCACCCCCACCCUGCCCCCACCAGGCCAAGAGCUGGAAGAGGUGUG